rnacentral:rRNA from 1 species
AUUGAACGCUGGCGGCAGGCCUAACACAUGCAAGUCGGACGGUAGCACAGAGGAGCUUGCUCCUCGGGUGACGAGUGGCGGACGGGUGAGUAAUGUCUGGGGAUCUGCCCGAUAGAGGGGGAUAACCACUGGAAACGGUGGCUAAUACCGCAUAACGUCGCAAGACCAAAGAGGGGGACCUUCGGGCCUCUCACUAUCGGAUGAACCCAGAUGGGAUUAGCUAGUAGGAGGGGUAAUGGCCCACCUAGGCGACGAUCCCUAGGUGGUCUGAGAGGAUGACCAGCCACACUGGAACUGCGACACGGUCCAGACUCCUACGGGAGGCAGCAGUGGGGAAUAUUGCACAAUGGGCGCAAGCCUGAUGCAGCCAUGCCGCGUGUAUGAAGAAGGCCUUCGGGUUGUAAAGUACUUUCAGCGGGGAGGAAGGCGAUGUGGUUAAUAACCUUGUCGAUUGACGUUACCCGCAGAAGAAGCACCGGCUAACUCCGUGCCAGCCGCCGCCGUAA